rnacentral:rRNA from 1 species
ACGAACGCUGGCGGCGUGCCUAACACAUGCAAGUCGAACGGGGAUAGAUAGCUUGCUAUUUAUUCUAGUGGCGCACGGGUGAGUAAUGCAUCGGAACGUACCCAGUCGUGGGGGAUAACUACGCGAAAGCGUAGCUAAUACCGCAUACGCCCUGAGGGGGAAAGCGGGGGACCUUCGGGCCUCGCGCGAUUGGAGCGGCUGAUGUCGGAUUAGCUAGUUGGUGGGGUAAAGGCCUACCAAGGCGACGAUCCGUAGCUGGUCUGGGAGGAUGAUCAGCCACACUGGGACUGAGACACGGCCCAGACUCCUACGGGAGGCAGCAGUGGGGAAUUUUGGACAAUGGGCGCAAGCCUGAUCCAGCCAUGCCGCGUGAGUGAAGAAGGCCUUCGGGUUGUAAAGCUCUUUCAGACGGAAAGAAAUCGGGCGCGUGAAUAGCGUGCCUGGAUGACGGUACUGUCAGAAGAAGCACCGGCUAACUACGU